GAGGCUUGAUGAUACAACACAUAAACACAAAUCCUGACAGCUCCGUGAUUUCAUUAUAAUAUCUGUAAACAGCACAUAAACAAGCCGAACCGUAAAGUGCAGGAACACAGUGACAAUACAGUGACCUGCUUGCUAUCGCUGAAACACAAAGACAGUUUGAAGGCCUUAACCUUGACCUCAGGUUAUCGUUAGACAGAAUGAAGUGAAGGACCCUUCAUGCACCAGACGGCAGGAGGGAUUCAUUAACUCACCUCGACUUCAACAGCAUGCUUGCUAUCGCUGAAACACAAAGACAGUUUGAAGGCCAUAACCUUGACCUCAGGUUAUGACAGGACCCUUCAUGCACCAGACGGCAGGAGGGAUUCAUUAACUCAC